rnacentral:rRNA from 1 species
UACGUAGGGAGCAAGCGUUAUCCGGAUUUAUUGGGUGUAAAGGGUGCGUAGGCGGCUAUGCAAGUCAGUAGUGAAAUCCAUGGGCUUAACCCAUGAACUGCUAUUGAAACUGCACAGCUUGAGUGAAGUAGAGGUAGGCGGAAUUCCCGGUGUAGCGGUGAAAUGCGUAGAGAUCGGGAGGAACACCAGUGGCGAAGGCGGCCUACUGGGCUUUAACUGACGCUGAGGCACGAAAGCGUGGGUAGCAAACAGG